GAUUUCUGGACAUGAUUUGUCUCUGGCCGGCCGUGGUUUCACGUGUUAGUGCUGGAGACUCUGUCCAUCCUUCCAAUGGCUGUCUUGUCGCUCUUCAUUGAGUGUUGCAAGGCGGUCUUGGAUCUUUUACUUUGAAAAAAUUAGAGUGUUUCAAGCAGGCUUUUUGCUAUGAAUACAUUAGCAUGGAAUAAUAAUUUAGGACUUCGGUUCUAUUUUGUUGGUUUCUAGGACUGAAGUAAUGAUUGAUAGGGACAGUUGGGGGUGCUAGUAUUCAGCGGCCAGAGGUGAAAUUCUUGGAUUCGCUGAAGACUAACUUAUGCGAAAGCAUU
rnacentral:rRNA from 1 species